rnacentral:rRNA from 1 species
AACGAACGCUGGCGGCAUGCCUAACACAUGCAAGUCGAACGAGACCUUCGGGUCUCGUGGCGCAUGGGUGCGUAACGCGUGGGAAGCUGCCCUUAGGUUCGGAAUAACUCCCCGAAGGGGGUGCUCAUACCGGAUAAUGUCUUAGUACCAAAGAUUUAUCGGCUUUGUAUGGGGCCGCGUUUGAUUAGCAUGUUGGUAGGGUAAAAGCCUACCAAGGCGACGAUACAUAGCUGGUGUGAGAGGCAGAGGAGCCACACUGGGACGGGGACACGGCCCAGACUCCUGCACAAGGCAGCAGUGGGGGAUAUUGGACAAUGGGGUAUAGCCUGAUGCAGCAAGGCCUGGUGAGUAAUGAAGGCCGUAGGGUAGGAAAGCUCUUUUACCCGUGAGGAUAAUGACAUUACCGGGAGAAUAAGCUCCGGCUAACUCCGUG